CUAACGCUCUGUGUCGCGCGAUCCCCGUGACCCAAAUCGCGUUGAUGAGCAACUUAUCCCGCAAAUUCCUCUGCUCCUACGCACACUUCUUUCCUUCCAUAUUUCCAUUCGCCCCGCCUCCAAGCUAUGGAUUACGCCGGCGCCGCCGCCGCUGCCCCUCCCUACCGCCUCCAAGCAAUGGAUUCAGCCGCCACCGCCGCCCCGCUGCUGGCCGACGAGGAGGACGCUCGGCGCAGCCGGAGCACCGACUGCAUCUCCAGUCCAUUCGUUCGUUCGUCCAUCCCCUCCGCUCCGCUCCCUCCAUCGAUAGAUGGGUAAUUCGCCGCGCCUUCGGGACGCCGCCGAGGGGAUUCGGCCUCUCUCUUCCCAAGCUCGCGCGCCGCCGAAACGGGGGAAGCUAUUCGGUUUUUUAUCUGGCCGGGUCUCUUCUUAUCCUCUUCUCACCAGUCCAAGAUUCGAGCUUUGCCACUGCGUUUCGGCCGGCGCAGAACAGUCCGCGCUAGGCUAGCUCCAGCCUCCGGCUGCCGGCGCACGAUUUGGUCUUGGUUUCCGGCGAGGGAGCCUUGCUCUGCUCCGCUCAGCAUGGUGCCGGAAAACUCGAUGGUUUCAGUCGAGAUCUGUUCGUUUGGUAGAAGUUGAUUCAAUUGGGCAAUUGAAUUUGCUGCCUCUGCCGCUGCCAAUAAUGGAUGCAUCUGACAUGCUCCUGCUCUGGCAAACUAGCUAGCUAAGCUUGGUUUACGCACGACCAAAGCAUUAGGGCUUUAUGGGCAUCACUGGAGCUACAUCGCCAUUGUAGAUUCUCCGGUUAGUUUUGGCACCACCUGAAACAUGCUUCCCGUUAUAGCUUGCAUCUUACUACCUUUGUAUCAUAAGAGGGAGUACUUAAAUUCUCUAAAGUGUCAAUUAAUUGCUGCAAAUCUGCAAAGCGGCGCAGGACUACCAUUGCUUUCGUCUUUUGGUGAGAAAAUACAGUCUUUGUAUUCGCACCGAAACAGCAACGCUGUGAACUAAAAUGCGUCGGUUUUUAACUUUGAGGCGUGUAAAUAAUCUCGAGUUGGAUUCGACCUGAUUGCUAUUUGUGCAGCAUCUAUAGCAUUUGCACUGCUGACAUGUUGUUUUUUUUCUUCAUCCAGGGAAGCGAGUGCGAGUACUGUCACAUCGAUGCCACGAGGGUGAACCCCAGGGACUCCUGGUAUUGGUUCAACGGCAACUGCGCGAACCCUAAAAUGUUCAUUUAGGCACCCGGUUUGACCUCCUCUGUUCCAUCUUUUCAGUCAAAAGUCACUGCAGUUUUAUUCUGUUUAGUGCUUCAGUUAAACAGACCAACAUUGUAAUCAUGGUUUCAGAACCAUUGGGUAUUGGUCAAACUUUUCUGGUCUCUCAGUCGCUGCUUCAGAAAACUUGCAUUCAGUACCAUCGGACUCUACAACCAAUGAUAUAGAGCUCAAUGGUGUUAUCUGGCCUGGUCAGAUUGCAGAGAAACCCGGUGGCUGGGUGUUUCCGUAUCAUGGGAAGUUUGUAAGAAUUGGAGUACCUCUGCGUACAAGCUACAAUGGGCCCGAUGGAUAAAGGUUUUUUCAGUUGAUGUUUUCAAAUCUGCAAUAAGCUUGAUGCCUUACCCCAUGGGAUGCAGUUUUGUUUUAUUUGGAGAUGGAUUGAAAAUCCGAGCUACUGUGACCUUGUACAAAAGGUGUCCGAAAAUGCAUAUUCACUUCAGUUGCAAGUGUAGAGGUCCAUGCCAAGAACCCCAACACUUCUCAAAUUAAUGUUCAGUAAUUGACAUUCCAGGUCAGCACUUUUCAGUAUCCAUCAUCUGUUCGAAUUGCUACCUUUUUUGUUUGCGGAUUAUCAAAGUUCUUGUAUUCUUGCCUUUGAAUUUUUGUGUUGGUGUUACACUCUCUAAUUAAUCUUUUAGCAAUGCUUUUCGGUUAUCUUUUCUUCAGCAAACCUGGUUCAAGCAUAUUUUAUUAACUUCUUGUUGCUUUCAUGUUUUUUGGUAAACUGAAUUGAUUUCUUUCAAGAUGGAUGUGUAAUAAGAUAUGAAGUAGUUUGAUCAUUAAUUGUUGUAAUGAUUGCAUUUCAAUGAAGAGCUUUGGAGCUCAAAUAUUGCGCCUCUCUAUUAUGAUUGCUUAAGAUGUACAUUUCUAGAAGAAAGCUACGUAAAUCAGAAAGCAGUGGAUGGAAUCAACCAAACCGUCACAACUUAGGAAUACAUGCCCUAUUGUAAAGUGCAACUGCACAGAAGCUACUUUCUUAUAUUAUUUGACCUUGAAAACUAAAAUUAGUCCUAUUCUCUCACCGGGCAUGUUGCUGUUCACACUUUUGAUACUCGCAGCACUUUUGACCCCUCCCAGUUCAUUCUGUGUCGGGAACAUGUGCUAAAUUUGCUUUCACAUAUAAAUUUGUUCUUUUGACUUGGUAACAAUGUAGUAGAAAAGAACAUGUUAUAUGUUUUCUUCUGCUUUACAAUUAUUAGUGAUCAAUCUAGCUUCUGCAUAAAGGUAAAAAUAAGUGCUUUUGGUAGAUUUCAAAUAACUUGGAAAAGUAGAACCUAUGCUAGAGCCUCAGCAUUCAAUAGUACAUAAAUGCAUCCGAUGAUUUUCUUCUUUGCAAAGUAAUGAACACUUGCGGUUCAUAUAUCUGUGUCAGGAGGAUAGUCAAGAUCUUUUUAUAGUACACAAGAUAAUUGUUUAUUGAUUGCCAAAGGAAAAGACCACAUCUGCUUGUACUCUGGAACUCUGGAUGCUAAGGUAUUCACACUUUUUGUGUUGUCUGGCUAAGUCUAUAUGCCUUAAUUCUGAAAUCAUGUGCAUAGUUCGUGAUAGUCAGGGGGCUGCUCUCAUUGGGUUUGGUCGUUUAGUUAGCAAAACUGGCAAAUAUAACAUAAUGCAUGUUGUUUUAAUUAUUCAUUUUUACCCCUGUGGGGGCUUCUCCUUCCAAAUAAAUUAUGCAUUUAAGCUUUCAUGAACAUGCUUUGACGAAGUGUUGGUGGAAAGCCGAGGAUUUGGAUUCCAGCCGUGGCUUGCCGUUGAAAGGAUGAGGUGUGUGCUGCUGCUGGGAGCGGUUAGCUGCUAAAGCAAACAACAGCGGCAAGACCUGGGUGACUCACAUGGCCGCUGAUGACAUCCCUCUCCCUAUGUUUCUGCUGCCGAUGACAUCUCCUAGAACCUCUACUCCGUAGAAUAAGGAUUUAGAUAGCAUCAUCUAUCAGAGUUCCAUUUCUUUUCUUGUUUGAAACUCUAACAAAUUUUACAAUGGGGCUGAUUGAUGUUGCGGGCUCAUUGGUGACAACCAAGGAAUCAUGCUUGGAACGGACUCUGUUUCAUCGGCUCAAGUAAGGGAGAUCAUGUGUCUUUCCUCUGCAAAGGAGUAUAAAUCUUCUAUUGUCUGUUACUUACUGACGGAAAUCUUCUCUAUUGUUACUUGAUUGUCUGUUAC